rnacentral:rRNA from 1 species
GAUGAACGCUGGCGGCGUGCCUAAUACAUGCAAGUCGAGCGAACGGACGAGAAGCUUGCUUUUCUGAUGUUAGCGGCGGACGGGUGAGUAACACAUGGAUAACCUACCUAUAAGACUGGGAUAACUUCGGGAAACCGGAGCUAAUACCGGAUAAUAUUUUGAACCGCAUGGUUCAAAAGUGAAAGACGGUCUUGCUGUCACUUAUAGAUGGAUCCGCGCUGCAUUAGCUAGUUGGUAAGGUAACGGCUUACCAAGGCAACGAUGCAUAGCCGACCUGAGAGGGUGAUCGGCCACACUGGAACUGAGACACGGUCCAGACUCCUACGGGAGGCAGCAGUAGGGAAUCUUCCGCAAAGGGCGAAAGCCUGACGGAGCAACGCCGCGUGAGUGAUGAAGGUCUUCGGAUCGUAAAACUCUGUUAUUAGGGAAGAACAUAUGUGUAAGUAACUGUGCACAUCUUGACGGUACCUAAUCAGAAAGCCACGGCUAACUACGUG